UCUAGAGAAGCGUUUUCCGCGCUGGACUGUGUACAAGUUUCCUGGAUACGGAACAUCAUAGAGGGUGAGAAUCCCGUCCUUGACACAGACUACCAGUGCUCUGUGAUGCGCUCUCGACGAGUCGAGUUGUUUGGGAUUGCAGCUCAAAAUGGGAGGUAAAUUCCUUCUAAAGCUAAAUAUUGGCGAGAGACCGAUAGCGAACAAGUACCGUGAGGGAAAGAUGAAAAGCACUUUGGAAAGAGAGUUAAACAGUACGUGAAAUUGUUAAAAGGGAAACGCUUGAAGUCAGUCACGUUUACUUGGACUCAGCCUUACCUCGGUUUGGUGCAUUUCCUUGUGAACGGGCCAGCGUCCAUGUUGUCUGCCGGAAAAGGGGUGAAGGAAUGUGGCUCUUUCGGGAGUGUUAUAGCCUUUGCUCGUAUACGGGGGAUGCUAUGGAGUGGUACAGCAUGCUUCGGUGGUGCUUGUGCUGGCAUAAUGGCUUUAAACGACCCGUCUUGAAACACGGACCAAGGAGUCUAACAUGUCUGCGAGUGUUUGGGUGGAAAACCCGAGCGCGUAAUGAAAGUGAUAGCUGGGAACCCCUUUUGGGAGGCACCGGCGCCCCGAGCUGACCUUCUGUGACGCAUCGGAGGUAGAGCAUAUAUGUUGGGACCCGAAAGAUGGUGAACUAUGCCUGAAUAGGGCGAAGCC
rnacentral:rRNA from 1 species